ACUCUUCAAUAAUUUUUGGCGCGACCUAAUAUCUUUUAUUUUAUUGUGAUGUUAUAGUCCUCCUGAUGCUAUAGUCCUCCUGAUGUUAAAGUACUCCCAAUACUAUAGUCCUCCCAAUACUAUAGUCCUCGUGAUGUUAUAGUCCUCCUGAUGCUAUAGUCCUCCUGAUGGUAAAGUCCUCCUGAUGAUAUAGUCCUUCUGAUGGUAUAGUCCUCCUGAUGCUAUAGUCCUCCUGAUAUUAUAGUCCUCCCGAUGCUAUAGUCCUCCCGAUGCUAUAGUCCUCCUGAUAUUAUAGUCCUCUUGAUGGUAUAGUCCUCCUGAUGCUAUAGUCCUCCCGAUGCUAUAAUCCUCCUGAUGCUAUAGUCCUCCUGAUAUUAUAGACCUCCUGAUGGUAUAGUCCUCCUGAUGCUAUAGUCCUCCUGAUAUUAUAGUCCUCCCGAUGCUAUAGUCCUCCUCCUGAUGUUAUAGUCCUCCCGAUGGUAUAGUCCUCAUGAUGCUAUAGUCCUCCUGAUGUUAUAGUCCUUGUGAUGCUAUAGUCCUUGUGAUGUUAUAUUCCUCGUGAUGCUAAAGUCCUCGUGAUGCUAUAGUCCUCCUGAUGGUAUAGUUCUCCUGAUGCUAUAGUCCUCCUGAUGCUAUAGUCCUCCUGAUGGUAUAGUCCUCCUGAUGCUAUAGUCCUCCUGAUGUUAUAGUCCUUGUGAUGCUAUAGUCCUUGUGAUGUUACAUUCCUUGUGAUGCUAUAGUCCUCCUGAUGCUAUAGUCCUCCUGAUGGUAUAGUCCUCCUGAUGCUAUAGUCCUUGUGAUGCUAUAGUCCUUGUGAUGUUAUAUUCCGUGUGAUGCUAUAGUCCUCCUGAUGCUAUAGUCCUCCUGAUGUUAUAGUCCUCCUGAUGUUAUAGUCCUUGUGACGGUAUAGUCCUCCUGAUGCUAUAGUCCUCCUGAUGUUAUAGUCCUCCUGAUGGUAUAGUCCUCCUGAUGUUAUAGUCCUCUUGAUGUUAUAGUCCUUGUGAUGGUAUAGUCCUCCUGAUGCUAUUGUCCUCCUGAUGCUAUAGUCCUCCUGAUGGUAUAGUCCUCCUGAUGUUAUAGUCCUCUUGAUGUUAUAGUCCUUGUGAUGCUAUAGUCCUCCUGAUGGUAUAGUCCUCCUGAUGGUAUAGUCCUCCUGAUACUAUAGUCCUCCUGAUGGUAUAGUCCUCCUGAUAUUAUAGUCCUUGUGAUGUUAUAGUCCUUGUGAUGUUAUAGUCCUCCUGAUGCUAUAGUCCUCCUGAUGUUAUAGUCCUUGUGAUGCUAUAGUCCUUGUGAUGUUAUAUUCCUUGUGAUGCUAUAGUCCUCCUGAUGCUAUAGUCCUCCUGAUGGUAUAGUCCUCCUGAUGCUAUAGUCCUCCUGAUGGUAUAGUCCUCCUGAUGUUAUAGUCCUUGUGAUGCUAUAGUCCUUGUGAUGUUAUAUUCCGUGUGAUGCUAUAGUCCUCCUGAUGUUAUAGUCCUCCUGAUGUUAUAGUCCUUGUGAUGGUAUAGUCCUCCUGAUGCUAUAGUCCUCCUGAUGUUAUAGUCCUCCUGAUGUUAUAGUCCUUGUGAUGGUAUAGUCCUCCUGAUGCUAUAGUCCUGCUGAUAUUAUAGUCCUCCUGAUAUUAUAGUCCUCCUGAUGUUAUAGUCCUCCUGAUGUUAUAGUCCUCUUGAUGUUAUAGUCCUUGUGAUGUUAUAGUCCUCCUGAUGGUAUAGUCCUCCUGAUACUAUAGUCCUCCUGAUACUAUAGUCCUCCUGAUGGUAUAGUCCUCCUGAUAUUAUAGUCCUUGUGAUGUUAUAGUCCUUGUGAUGUUAUAGUCCUCCUGAUGCUAUAGUCCUCUUGAUGCUAUAGUCCUCCUGAUGUUAUAGUCCUCUUGAUGUUAUAGUCCUCUUGAUGCUAUAGUCCUCCUGAUGCUAUAGUCCUCCUGAUGUUAUGGUCCUCCUGAUGCUAUAGUCCUCCUGAUGGUAUAGUCCUCCUGAUGUUAUAGUCCUCCUGAUGGUAUAGUUCUCCUGAUGCUAUAGUUCUCCUGAUGGUAUAGUCCUCCUGAUGUUAUAGUCCUCCUGAUGGUAUAGUUCUCCUGAUGCUAUAGUUCUCCUGAUGGUAUAGUCCUCCUGAUAUUAUAGUCCUUGUGAUGUUAUAGUCCUCCUGAUGUUAUAGUCCUCCUGAUGCUAUAGUCCUCCUGAUGCUAUAGUCCUC
rnacentral:lncRNA from 1 species